AGGCUGCACCUGCAGCAUACAGAUGUUUCUAGACUAGGGGUCGAAUUGGAGCUUCAGCUGCAGGCCUAUGCCAUAGCCAAAGCCACAGCCACAGCAACAUAGGAUCCAAGCCACAUCUGUAACGUACGCCAAAGAUUUUGGCAAUGCUGAAUCUUUAACCCAGGGAUUGAACCUGCAUCCUCACAGACACUAUGUUGGGUUCUUAACCUGAUGAGCCACAGUGGGAACUCCCUUGAUGACCUCUUUAUUCUCUCUUUGCCAGACAAAGGAUUACCUUCCUCCUAAGAUUGUAAGUACUAAACUAGUGAAUACAUAUUGAAAGCUCUUAGAAUGAUUCAUGGCAUAUGGUCAGCCACAUAAGCUAGACAAAACAUUACGGGUGUCCUUGACUCUAGGCCAAUUCAGAUCCAUCCACUCCAAUAAGGCCAGAGAUAUCUUCCGAGAACCUGAAUCUGGCCCUGCAGGUCUCUGGCUUCAAAUCCUUCAAUGAGAACCUCUGACUUCUGUGGGGCGUGCUUGGUCUUUUCCAGUGUCCUGGUUCCUGCUACGGUCUUAUACUCUGAUUAUAUCAAAGGACACACAUUCUCUGAAAUGGCCAUUUACCAUUUUGCCUUUGAGACUUUGCAUGCAGUUUUCCCUCUGUCUGGCCUACACUCUUGACUUUUUAAGAUCAAACUCAAAUACCACAGCCUCUACCAGUUUCAAUCUUCUUCCUCUGCCCCCAGACCCGACCAAUGUUCCAAAAGGGCCCACUGCCCCUUCCUCUGGGUUACAAAAUAUUAGAAAGUGAUCACCCCUCAUCUCUAGAGUCUAAGCCCAUAUCAUGAAGACCCUGGACUUCAUCAGGUCCUGACAUAAAUUGCAGUGUUACUGGAGUCUGAGGAAAGAUAAAGAAAACAGGAAGCAUAAGAAGGAAGAAAAGAGAGGAACAAAGGAAGGGGAGAGAAGAAGUUGGGGCAAUGUAUGCUGCUCCAGACCCAGGUUUCCUGGGCUACAGAGGUAGGUGACUCACACUGACCCACCAACACCAAGAUUCACCCUUCGGAAGAAAAGAUCUGGCUUUCAAAGUUGUUUUUUGGCUUUUUAGGGCCACACCCAUAGCAUAUUGGAAGUUCCCAGGCUAAGGGUCAAAUCAGAGCUGUAGCUGCCAGCUGACAUCACAGCCACAGCAACACCAGAUUGGAGCCUUGUCUGUGACCCACAUCAUAGCCCAUGGCAACACCAGAUCCAUAACCCACUGAGCCAGGCCAGGGAUUGAACCCGAGUCCUCAUGGAUAUACUAGUCGGGUUUUUUCUGCUGCACCACAAUGGGAGCUCCUCAAAGUUUUUAAAACAAACAAAAAAAAAAACUGCCCUGGCCAUUUGAGCUGAGCCCACAUACUUCCCCAUAUACUUGCACACAGUAGCCAGGCUGCAAAAAAGGUUUAAGGUAGGUCAGGAGUAAUUACUUGUGGAUUAGUCUCAGACCAGUUCUGAAAAGACUGUCAUCUUUCAAGUCACCUGGAAAAAGGUCACUUGUCAGAGAAAAUAACCUUUCUGAAUAGCAACCACCAAGCUUUGAAGAGGUAGAGGGGUUGGGGAAAAGGAAAAGACAGGAACACUUUCGGGGUCCAAGUUGGGGAGUAAACCUUUAUCUGCAAAGUAUUAAUUCACUUAAUUUGCGUAAUGGAAGACAUCUUUUCCCUGCCAGUGUGUGGAUGGCACUGUCGUUGUUCUGACCUUGGACGGGACAUGCAAUGAAGAGUCUGUGACCUGAAGGGAUGUUUGGUGCUGAAAUCACAUGAAGGAUUAAUCCCUACUAUUUAUCUAUCACAGCAAUGCUGUGGGCUAAAGCAGUUGAAGGGUUUUGGAUCCUAGGUCAUCAGGUGUUAAGUGGUUCACCGAAAGACAGGUCCAUGUUCUGACAUGCAGAACCAGUGAAUAUGUCCUCACUUGGAAAAUGUCUUUGCAGGUGUGAGUAAGUCCAGGACCUGGAGAUGAGGAGACCCCUGGGACGACCGGGGUGGGCCCGAAAUCAAAUGACAAGUGUCUUUAUAUGAGAUGCAGAGAGGAAAAGGCCAUGUGAAACAAAGGAGCCGAAAAAGCAGUGGCCACAGGCCAAGGGAUGCCAACAGCAGCCAGAGGCAGGAAGAGGCCAGGAAGGGAUUAUUCCCCAGAGGAUCCAGAGUGCACAGACCUACUACCUCCUUGGUUUCAGACAUCUGGCCUCCAGAGAACUUGGAGAGAGUAAGUUUCCGAUGCUUUAAGCCAUCCAGCUAUGGUCAUUCAUUAAAGCAACCUCAGGAAAUUAAUACAGUGGUAAUGCCAGGAAUCAAACCCAAGUUUGUCUGGGUCUGCUCUGUAACUCAGGAUAGGUUAUUUCCAUUUCAGAGACUUCAUUUCCUAAGCUGUAAAAGGGGGUUAAAGCAAAGAUUAAGUGAGGUAAUGUGCUCAUCAUAAUAAAGAUUAGCAUAUUGAGUUUUACUUUCUUGGUCACUUAGAAUUAGAGGCAAGAGCCCAAAUUCUCUCCUUAGGACAAAUCAGAUACACAUAAGGCAAGAUGUGCCUACACUGCUUUUAAAUAUCCAGCAAAAAGUCAGUUCUUCAAACUUCAGAUGGUGUCCACAGUGAGUCGACACUGAGCGAAUCGCUAGAGAUUCAGAAUUGAAUACGGAUGAGCAGAACUCAUUUUACCAACUUAAAAUUCUUUAAGAAAUUCAUGAUUUGAGCACUCUGAACUAAACUUGAACCCUUUGGCACUUGAAUUGGCUUAUACAGUUUUGAUUGUAAGAAAAGAGAAUUUUAAAAAGUCAUUAAACAAGGUGAAAAGCCUUAUUGGACACGAAUUGGCUCUUAAAGAAUAUUACAAUGAUAUAAAGCUCAAAUGGGUCAGAAAUUUAUGAAAGUCAUUUCCCUUAAAUAAAACAUGAUUUUAAAUAUUCAAGGGAGAACACUCUGCAAAAUGUGCUUGGUGUUUUAAAACAUCUGAAGAACUAUAAGAGUUCUUACUCAUCCCAAAGACCUUGUGCUGGAUAUCAUCACAGACACAUUAGAACUGAGGGCUCCCCUGGGGCCAAGGUUCAUGCACAAAGCAAUCUGGACAGCCCUGCUGGUCUCAGGGAAAAGCCACACUAACCUUUCCUUGUCUGCCCAGCCAAGAAGGGCACUUAUAAUCUGGGCACAGACUGGAGACCCACUUGGUACAGGAUAUACUCUACUAGAAGUGCCUGCUCUUCAAACACAACUUGAACUUCUUGAGGGAAAGAAGUUCACUGUUAUAUUUUGCAACACUUAAUAUAAUGAGGCAGCAAUAAUUGGGAGAUGGAUAGACGAGUAUAUGAGUAAAAGAAAGUAGGGAGGGAGGAAGGGAGAGUAAACAGUUUAGAUAGAUGAUAGAUAGAUGAUAGAGAGAGAGAGAGAGAGAGAGAUAAUAGAUAGAUAGAAAGGAUACAUGUACUCAAGGAUACAUAGUUAACAGGAUGGAAGAAUAUAUAGUGAAUGGAUGAAAGGAAGGAAGAGAGGGAACAAUAGAUGAAUGGAUAGAUGGAUGGAUGGAUGGAUGGGUGGGUGGAUAGAUAGAGGAAGAUAGUAUCUACCCAGGAAAUUGUUGUUUGAAUUAACUACCUAGCAACUCCAUACUUGACUCUAGUCCUAAGUUUCUAUUUCUCUCCCCAAAGACUGCAUUAAAACAGGGGCCUAUAAUGUCUUAAUUCCAAAAUAAUAUACUACAUAAUUAUAAUCUUUCUAAUUAACGACAAAAUAAUAAAUAACAAUGAACAAAGCAUCUUAGGUUCAGAGAAUGUAUGCUCCAAUAUACAACCUGACACCUCAGGCCAUAUGGUCUUGGCUAAGUUCCUUUGCCACUCUGAUUACUGUGUCAUUAUUUCCAAAAUAAAAGUGUAACAAUGUUGUUAGCUGACUACCCCUCUUUUCCUUGCUAACAGUACUUUCAUUUGUUUCAGAAGCAAGUUUCCAAAUCCCAGAGGAAAAAUCAUGAUUUGUUUAUGUCCUAGAUCUCAUUCAUCUUUGCCGGUGACUCAAUUCUGGCCCAUGAAAAAUAAGGGUAAGUCUAGAAUUUCUGGGGAUAAAAAGAAAGAGCUGACUCUGGAGAAAGCCCCUAAGCCAUCACCCCUUCUUUUCCUACUUUGGACUAUGUUCUAUGAAGCCCUGAAGCUUGAAGCCAUAGAAGCAGCUAUUUUAUAACCAUCAAGAAAAAAGACAAGGAAUUUCAACAAGGCUGACUCAUCCUCUUGACACUGUUGGGGCUAAUCAUUCAAGUUCAGAAUCUACCUACUUUCAUCUUCUUACUAUAGGAGACCUAUGAAAGUAUCACAUAUCAUACUUUCCUGUUCUAGAUAAAUUAACUCACCUAAUUCUCACAUCUAUGAUUAUUACUACAGUCGAAUGGAAAUAAUAAGACACAGAGAGGUUAUGAAACUUUCUGACCACUAGUAACUGACAGAAGUCAGAUCUGAAUGUAGGCGAUGGCCAUCCAUAUAACCACCCUAUCAUUCCACUUUCUCUUAUUAGCUGAUUGUUUAAUUUUGGAUGCAGCCAAAAAUCAUACCAAGUUAUACAAAGCCUAUCUUUCUAAUCUUCCAUAAUUUUUGUGAACACACAUUGAUGCCAGUGCAUCACAUAGCCUUCAAGUAUCUAAUAUUGUUCUCAAAUGUAAAAUAUCUAAGAGAACAAUGAAUGCAAAGGUUUAGUCAUCUGCCAAAGCCAUGCAGCAGGUAAGGGGCAGAGCUGGGGUGGAUGGAUCCCUGGUUCCUGUGACGCUGAAGCUGAUUCACUUCCCCCUGAGAUGCCCUGCCACCCUGGGAAAUGCUCAUUUAUUUUCACAUCGAUAAUGGGGCCCAAAGGAGCCCUCAGUGAUACUGAUGAAACCUGAAUCCUAGGCUGAAAAAAGCCUAAGGCCAGUGAAGGGACUUGGGAGCCAAUCCCAAAGGGGUGUUCAGUACUUUCAAAUUCUCCUCCCGCCUACUCUCCCAUGAUCCAACUCCUGAAAGGUUACCUCUUUCUCCAGCUUUAUGAAUCAGAAAGUCAUGUUCUCCCUCUGGGACCUAGCACUUACAGUUUCAGAAUUCAUGUUUUUCCCCUGCAUGGUUCACUUCAGUCUUGCUGCUGAGAAAGUACCACCAGCAUUCAUUAAGUCUAUAUAGACCUUUCAGGGCCCUGAGCUAAGUUUAGUGCAUUAAGAAGACGCUAGGAUGGAGGUUGAGGAGGAAUAAGUCUAUGGGGAGCCCAAGGGUGGGGAGUGGCCAAGAAUCAGAGACCUUGUGACCCGGAAAGCAUCAAAGAUCAUCUGGUUUAACAUCUUCAAUUUAUAGAUAGCUGGCAUGAGAUUUGGAGAUAUCCAUUAAUAGUUGCAAUUCGGGAGUUCCUGUCGUGGCUCAGUGGUUAACCAAUCCGACUACGAACCAUGAGUUUGAUCCCUGGCCUUGCUCAGUGGGUUAAGGUUCUGGCAUUGCUGUCAGCUGUGGUGUAGUUCACAGACAUGGCUCAGAUCCCACAUUGCCGUGGCUCUGGUGUAAGCUAGCAGCUACAGCUCUGAUUAGACCCCUAGCC
rnacentral:lncRNA from 1 species